CCUUCCUAGACUCAGUGCCCAUCUGGGGACCUGGUCAGGGUGGGGUGGGGAGUGGUGUUGCGGUGUAAAGAAUAAUGAAUUAAAGGAAACCUGAGACUCCCUCCUUCUCUAGCUUGGGGGAGUUCCCCUUUCCACCUAGAAAUUCUUCCGUUGCUCUUGCAGACUGAAGAAGCCUGCCCUCUCUGGAGUCUCCCUCACCUUUAUCUUCCUCCCCACUACCUUUCUCUUUUUCUCCUCCUCUAAAGGUCCAGCACCACCAUCACCUACUCCAAGUGACCAUCCCUGACUGCUCCAUCUGAAUGUUGUUUCAUCUGUAUCUCUGCCUUACCACUCCACAGCAUUUAUCAUGAUCUGCAGCUAUCUUUUAUUUCUAUUUGAUUUCUUGUUUCUUGUCUGUCUCUUCCCCUAGAAUGUGGAUUUCACCCCCUAAGGGCAGGAAUUCUUGUCUGUUUUUUUUCCCACUUCUUGAUUCCUAGCCCCUAAAAUAGUACCUGACAAUAAAUGUUGAAAGACAGAGGGGCAGAAGGAAACAAAGAAAUACAGGCUAAAUGACUGAGGGAAUAAAUGAAUGAAUGAAUAUAUACAUGUAAGGCUAAA
rnacentral:lncRNA from 1 species